rnacentral:rRNA from 1 species
AACGAACGCUGGCGGCGCGUCUUAAGCAUGCAAGUCGAACGGCAAGAGAGGAGCUUGCUUCUCUCCUAGAGUGGCGGACUGGUGAGGAACACGUGGGUAAUCUACCCUUAAGAUGGGGAUAGCUGCUAGAAAUAGCAGGUAAUACCGAAUACACUCGGCAUAUCACAAGAGGUGUUGAGGAAAGGAAGCUACGGCUUCGCUUGAGGAUGAGCUUGCGUCCCAUUAGCUAGUUGGUGAGGUAAAGGCCCACCAAGGCGACGAUGGGUAUCCGGCCUGAGAGGGUGAACGGACACAUUGGGACUGAGAUACGGCCCAAACUCCUACGGGAGGCAGCAGCUAAGAACAUUCCGCAAUGGACGGAAGUCUGGCGGAGCGACGCCGCGUGGAUGAAGAAGGCUGAAAAGUUGUAAAAUCCUUUUGUUGAUGAAGAAUAAGGGUGAGAGGGAAUGCUCAUCUGAUGACGGUAAUCGACGAAUAAGCCCCGGCUAAUUACGUG